UUUUAUAAAUUAAAACUAGUAUGAAUGGUAUUAUGAAAAUAUAACUGUCUUUAUUAUAUUAAUUGAAUUUAAUUUCUUAGUGAAGAAGCUAAGAUAAAUUAAAAAGACGAGAAGACCCUAUUGAGUUUUAGAAAAAUUUUAUUUAAAGGUAAAGUUUUUCUUUUUUUGGGGAAAUGAGAGAAAAAAUUUUCUUUUAAAAGUUAAUAAAUAUUUUUAUUGAUCCAUUAUUAAUGAUAUAAGAAUAAUUACCAUAGGGAUAACAGCAUAAUCUUUUUUGAAAGUACAUAUUAAUAAAAUGGGUUGUGACCUCGAUGUUGAAUUAAGAAAAUUAUAUAAUGAAGAAGUUAUAUAAAUAGGUCUGUUCGACCUUUAAACUCUUA
rnacentral:rRNA from 1 species